rnacentral:rRNA from 1 species
UGGUGGAGUGAUUUGUCUGGUUAAUUCCGAUAACGAACGAGACCUCAGCCAUCUAACUAGCUGUCGUUAACGCAUUUCGGCUUGCCGUUGUGCCUAGCGCAUGUUUAAUGAUCAGCUUCUUAGAGGGACAAUCUGUGCAUAGCAGAAGGAAGAUUGAGGCAAUAACA